AGGCUCUGAUGACCCAGGGAAGAGAUGACGGUAGUUCGGAGCAGCCUGGUGGCAGCCAUGAAUGUGAUGUGACUGGCUGGCUCAAACUGGUCAAGGACUGUAGGCAGGCAGGGGCAUCCACUUCAAAGAUGGCUAUCCAG